AAAACUGCUAAAUAUGAAUACAUAUUCAAAAAUAGCAAAGCUAAACAAUAUAUAAUAUAUAUAUAUAUAGGUGGAGCCUGCUGAAUAGGAGACACGUGCCAGAGUAAACCGAAGGAAGAUUUGAGGGGUGCUCUGCGGGCUUAACUAUGUGCAAUUCUUUGUUGUUACCCAUCUUCAUAGCAUUUGAGAGAUUGCCAGGGAAUUAAUCCUCACAGCACCCCAGGAGGUGGCAAAGAGCUACGAGCCCCUGUGGGAGCUGGAGAAAGGGAGGAGGUUAAAGAACCCGGCCAGGGUUAUGCAGCCCAGCAGCCUUUCUGCGUUCCUGAUAGUGCUCCAGCCACCUUGCCAUCCGGAUUCACAGCCCUUUCGUAACUCACCCCCAUCACAAAUAAACACAAGAAGUUCCUGGGAUUACAAAAUCUAAUUCAGAAAUGCCAAAUCCAACCUCCACUGCACCCCUGCAACAACCUCCAAAGUCAACAGGAGUCAUGGCUGCACAAAGAACUCAGUGCCCCAUCAACACACUGCAAUUUUUAACCAUUACUGAAUGUAAAUCUCUCUAGCAUCAAUAUUUAUUCCUGAUAAAUAUGAAGAAUGUUUAGUCUUCUGA